rnacentral:misc_RNA from 1 species
GAAAUAGGAUCGGGAUUGUAGAAAAUUCUAUAGCAAUGGGCUUUUAUUUUGGGAUUUGAUUUGAUAGGCCUCGGAGCUCCAAAUUGUAUUUUGAAAUGGAUAGAAAUGGAAUAAUUGUGGCAGUAUUGUUAUUGAUUUUGAUUGUUGCCGAUGUUUCCAAUGCUUCCUUGCUCUCGACGUUUCGAAGAUUUGUAGCCGUUACGGGCAUAAACCAAAUUUCUCCAUCGCCAAGUCCAGAUCCUUUAUUGGUUGUUACUAAUGGGACGUCAAAUGGGACAAUUUCGAAGGAUAGGAAGGUACCGGAUGAUUCUAACAAGGUUGACUCUGGUUCAAAGGGUUCGAUGGCAGGUCCGCCUCCUCAAAACAAAAGGGAGGAUGAGAAGUCUCAUGGAACGACAAAUAGGAAUGACAAUAAAACGGAUUCACAGUCAGAGGUUGGUCAAAAUUGUACUGGGAUGACUAGACGGUGCAAGGAUCAGGAUAAAUUGGUUGCCUGCAUUCUUAGUUCUCAAACUGGGCACAAAAAAUUUGUGGUUCUA